rnacentral:rRNA from 2 species
UACAACUUUCAACAACGGAUCUCUUGGCUCUCGCAUCGAUGAAGAACGCAGCGAAAUGCGAUAAGUAAUGUGAAUUGCAGAAUUCAGUGAAUCAUCGAAUCUUUGAACGCACCUUGCGCUCCUUGGUAUUCCGAGGAGCAUGCCUGUUUGAGUGUCAUGAAAUUCUCAA